GAUGAAGAACGUAGUGAAAUGCGAUAAGUAAUGCGAAUUGCAGAAUCCGUGAGUCAUCGAAUCUUUGAACGCACAUUGCGCCCGCUGGUAUUCCGGCGGGCAUGCCUGUUCGAGCGUCAUUUCAACCCUCAAGCCCCCGGGUUUGGUGUUGGGGAUCGGCUCUGCCCUUCUGGGCGGUGCCGCCCCCGAAAUACAUUGGCGGUCUCGCUGCAGCCUCCAUUGCGUAGUAGCUAACACCUCGCAACUGGAACGCGGCGCGGCCAUGCCGUAAAACCCCAACUUCUGAAUGUUGACCUCGGAUCAGGUAGGAAUACCCGCUGAACUUAAGCAUAUCAAUAAGCGGAGGA
rnacentral:misc_RNA from 1 species